UACGUAGGGCGCAAGCGUUGUCCGGCAUUAUUGGGCGUAAAGAGCUCGUAGGCGGCUUGUCACGUCGGAUGUGAAAGCCCGGGGCUUAACCCCGGGUCUGCAUUCGAUACGGGCUAGCUAGAGUUCGGUAGGGGAGUCUGGAAUUCCUGGUGUAGCGGUGAAAUGCGCAGAUAUCAGGAGGAACACCGGUGGCGAAGGCGGGUCUCUGGGCCGUUACUGACGCUGAGGAGCGAAAGCGUGGGGAGCGAACAGG
rnacentral:rRNA from 1 species